rnacentral:ncRNA from 1 species
GAUUGAACCAAUCCUUUCCCAUAGGUUCUUUCACCCACAAUCACGGCACGAUCAAGGUCUUGCAUUGCGCCAGAGAAUAUUUCUGAUGCGGAGGCCGAAUUGUUGUUGACAAGUACGACAAUAGGUAUUUUAUUGUCGAUAGGAUUCUUUGUCGCUUUGUAUGUUUCGUCUAAUGCUUUCACUUUGCUUUUCGUAUAGACAAUUGCGGUUUGAUUGUCUAUGAAGUAAUUGACUAUUUCUGUAGCUUGAUCGAGCAGACCACCAGGAUUGUUGCGUA